GCCACGGUGGUCUAGCGGUUAGACCCUGGCCUUGUAAUCCUGGGGUAUCGGGUUCGAUUCCCGGCGGUGCCC
rnacentral:tRNA from 1 species